CCUACGGGUGGCAGCAGUGAGGAAUAUUGGUCAAUGGACGAAAGUCUGAACCAGCCAAGUAGCGUGAAGGAUGACUGCCCUCUGGGUUGUAAACUUCUUUUAUACGGGAAUAAAAUGUUCCACGUGUGGGACUUUGUAUGUACCGUAUGAAUAAGGAUCGGCUAACUCCGUGCCAGCAGCCGCGGUAAUACGGAGGAUCCGAGCGUUAUCCGGAUUUCUUGGGUUUAAAGGGAGCGUAGGUGGAUUGUUAAGUAAGUUGUGAAAGGUUGCGGCUCAACCGUAGAAUUGCAGUGGAAACUGGCAGUCUUGAGUACAGUAGAGGUGGGCGGAAUUCGUGGUGUAGCGGUGAAAUGCUUAGAUAUGACGAAGAACUCCGAUUGCGAAGGCAGCUCACUGGAGUGCAACUGACACUGAUGCUCGAAAGUGUGGGUAUCGAACAGGAUUAGAUACCCGAGUAGUC
rnacentral:rRNA from 1 species